UGGGGAAUAUUGCACAAUGGGCGCAAGCCUGAUGCAGCCAUGCCGCGUGUAUGAAGAAGGCCUUCGGGUUGUAAAGUACUUUCAGUCGGGAGGAAGGUGGUAAGGUUAAUAACCUUAUCAAUUGACGUUACCGACAGAAGAAGCACCGGCUAACUCCGUGCCAGCAGCCGCGGUAAUACGGAGGGUGCAAGCGUUAAUCUGAAUUACUGGGCGUAAAGCGCACGCAGGCGGUUGAUUGAGUCAGAUGUGAAAUCCCCGGGCUUAACCCGGGAAUUGCAUCUGAUACUGGUCAGCUAGAGUCUUGUAGAGGGGGGUAGAAUUCCAUGUGUAGCGGUGAAAUGCGUAGAGAUGUGGAGGAAUACCGGUGGCGAAGGCGGCCCCCUGGACAAAGACUGACGCUCAGGUGCGAAAGCGUGGGGAGCAAACAGG
rnacentral:rRNA from 1 species